AUUGAACGCUGGCGGCAGGCCUAACACAUGCAAGUCGAACGAGUGGCGGACGGGUGAGUAAUGUCUGGGAAACUGCCUGAUGGAGGGGGAUAACUACUGGAAACGGUAGCUAAUACCGCAUACCAUCGGAUGUGCCCAGAUGGGAUUAGCUAGUAGGUGGGGGAACGGCUAACCUAGGCGACGAUCCCUAGCUGGUCUGAGAGGAUGAACAGCCACACUGGAACUGAUACACGGUCCAGACUCCGACGGGAGGCAGCAGUGGGGAAUAUUGGACAAUGGUCGAAAGCCCGAUCCAGCCCUGCCGCGUGUGUGAAGAAGGGCUUCGGAUUGUAAAGCACUUGAAGUUGUGAGGCGUUACCAACAGAAUAAGCACCGGCUAACUUCGUGCCAGCCGCCGCGGUAAUUC
rnacentral:rRNA from 1 species